AGCAGUCUUCUAGCACUCUCUACUAAUGGGCACCCUGAAUUCCUUAGAAGUUUCUUGUUGUUUGUUUAAAUUUAAUUUAUUCAUUUUACAUAUGUAAGUAUUUUGUGUGCAUGUAUGCUCCAUAUGCAUGCAGUGCCCAUGAAGUACAAAAGUGGGUCUUAUAAUCACUGGGACUGGAGUUAUAGAUGGUUGUCACCGUGUGGGAGCUGGAGUCAAACCCUGUCCUCUGGAAGAGCAUGUAUUCUUAUCUGCUGAGCUAUCUCUUCACCCCACCCCGGACCCUCGAAUGUUUGCUAAUGUGAUGAGUGAAAAAUGGGAUCUUGUUAAGGUCCCACCACCCACCCAGCUUCAAGUUCCAUUUUUAAAACUGUAUUUCAACUUAGCAUGCAACUAUAUUGAACUGUUUUGUUUAUUUGGUCCUAUGCUUAAAGAAUACAUCCUCAGCCGGGUGGUGGUGGUGAACACCUUUAAUCCCAGCACUUGGGAGGCAGAGAGGGCAGAUUUUUGAGUUCAAUGCCAGCCUGGUCUACAAAGUGAGCUCCAGGACAGCCAGGGCUAUACAGAGAAACCCUGUCUCG
rnacentral:lncRNA from 1 species